AUUGAACGCUGGCGGCAUGCUUUACACAUGCAAGUCGAACGGCAGCGCGGGCUUCGGCCUGGCGGCGAGUGGCGAACGGGUGAGUAAUGCAUCGGAACGUGCCCAGUAGUGGGGGAUAGCCCGGCGAAAGCCGGAUUAAUACCGCAUACGACCUGAGGGUGAAAGCGGGGGACCGAAAGGCCUCGCGCUAUUGGAGCGGCCGAUGUCGGAUUAGCUAGUUGGUGGGGUAAAGGCUUACCAAGGCGACGAUCCGUAGCUGGUCUGAGAGGACGACCAGCCACACUGGGACUGAGACACGGCCCAGACUCCUACGGGAGGCAGCAGUGGGGAAUUUUGGACAAUGGGGGCAACCCUGAUCCAGCCAUGCAGCGUGCGGGAAGAAGGCCUUCGGGUUGUAAACCGCUUUUGUUCGGGAAGAAAUCCUCUGGGCUAAUACCCCGGGGGGAUGACGGUACCGGAAGAAUAAGCACCGGCUAACUACGUG
rnacentral:rRNA from 1 species